rnacentral:tRNA from 5 species
CGGGUCGUAGCUUAAGUGGUGGAGCACGGCAAAAGUGCUGCCGAGGAGCCGGUUCGAGUCCGGCCGACCCGACCA